rnacentral:rRNA from 1 species
UAAGCGGAGGAAAAGAAACUAACAAGGAUUCCCCUAGUAACGGCGAGUGAAGCGGGAUGAGCUCAAAUUUAAAAUCUGGCGGCCUCAGGUCGUCCGAGUUGUAGUCUAGAGAAUCGUUUUCCGCGUUGGCCUGUGUACAAGUCCCUUGGAACAGGGCGUCAUAGAGGGUGAGAAUCCCGUCCUUGACACAGAUUACCAAUGCUUUGUGAUGCGAUCUCGAAGAGUCGAGUUGUUUGGGAAUGCAGCUCAAAAUGGGUGGUAAAUUCCAUCUAAAGCUAAAUAUUGGCGAGAGACCGAUAGCGAACAAGUACCGUGAGGGAAAGAUGAAAAGCACUUUGGAAAGAGAGUUAAACAGUACGUGAAAUUGUUAAAAGGGAAACGAUUGAAGUCAGUCAUGCUUUCCGAGACUCAGCCGAUUCUGUCGGUGUACUUCUCGGUUGGCAGGCCAGCAUCAGUUUCGAUCUGUGGAAAAGGUUGGAGGGAACGUGGCAUCCUCGGAUGUGUUAUAGCCCUUCUUCGAAUACAUAGAGCGGGACUGAGGAACGCAGCGCGCCUUUUAUUAGGUUGGCCCUCGGGUACAUACGCGCUUAGGAUGCUGGCAUAA